ACACUCUCUUUGCCAUUUAUCUCCUCUAUUUUCACCUCUCACUCUGGCUCUAUUUUAUAUAUUUAUGUAUAUAUAUAUAUAAUAUGGCGUUAGGAAGGGCAUCCAGC